GUCUACGGCCAUACCAACUUGAACGUGCCCGAUCUCAUCUGAUAUCGGAAGCUAAGCAGGGUCGGGCCUGGUUAGUACUCGGAUGGGAGAUU
rnacentral:rRNA from 1 species